UCCUUUCUAGCUCAUUGCUGGUAAUUCCUUCUCGCUGCCUGAUCCGUGAUAGCCAUGAUGUUGUACUCGCUGAUGUUGUCAGGCCAAUCUUGAAGCAUUGCCUGCUUUCUAGACUGUGCUGGAACAGCGCUCCAGUGAUCAUACUGCCAGGCCUGAGUCCCGUUGACUUGU